CGAGUGCGCAGGCAUAAGUGAGAGAAAUAACAUGAAAAUCAAAAGAGCAAGGGGGCUGAAUUCAGGCUCAAAUUAGCAUAUUAACUCCUUUUUUCUUUUACCCAGGGGACAAUCUGGUUCCUCCAGUGGCAGUUGUGAUUUAUAGACACAGUACUGGCUGCUGGAAUUUCAUCCUACCCUUCAAAAUCACACCAUAGCACAGCUCAGGGAAGCAGCUGGGCCGGUGCGCCUGGGGAGCUGUUCAGAAUGGCAGAUCGCCACUAAAGCUGCCAAACUUCGCCAAGACUGCUCAAACACCAAGUUUUGAAAUGACUUCGCCCCAGCGAUGGGACAGUCUGUGAAUGCUCUAAUAAUCACUAUUAAAGUAAAACAACUCGCUUCACCACUCCAUUUGCUUGUGCAGCCCUGAGCAUAGAAUGCAGAAGCACAAGUUUCAUGUGUAGGAAGAAAAGCAUCAUCAGACCGUGAGGCGAGUUCUGUCGUGGCCAAGAUAAUUUUAGCUCAGGACAGAGUUCCAGAGUCUGUGUUGGAACCCCGAAGCACUCAUUCCUUUAGGGCCCUGCCAGAAAGCUACAGUUGGAUCUGCUCAGCAACUGAGGCAGCCAGACGUCCAACAGCAUGGUCAGCCUGGGACAUGACUGGGAAAGGCUCAGGUACCAUAGUUC
rnacentral:lncRNA from 1 species